GAUGAACGCUGGCGGCGUGCUUAACACAUGCAAAUCGAACGAAGCAUUUGCGACGGAUUCUUUCGGGAUGAAGAUGCUUAUGACUGAGUGGCGGACGGGUGAGUAACGCGUGGGUAACCUGCCUUAUACAGGGGGAUAGCAGUUGGAAACGACUGGUAAUACCGCAUAAGCGCACAGUAUUGCAUGAUACAGUGUGAAAAACUCCGGUGGUAUGAGAUGGACCCGCGUUUGAUUAGCUAGUUGUGGGCAACGGCCGUACCAAGGCGACGAUCAGUAGCCGACCUGAGAGGUGACCGGCCACAUUGGGACUGAGACACGGCCCAAACUCCUACGGGAGGCAGCA
rnacentral:rRNA from 1 species